UUCGACACGUGGUGGCCGUAUUGGGCUGUAUGUAGCUAGACCCUGCGGCUUGCUCUUUUAACUGCUUGUGAUUGAGUGGCAGCGUGAGCGAGCUCUGCGUAUUCCACCCCAGCGUUAAGAAUCCUUCCCUAGCUUCUCUUCCCGACUCUGCUUAUUUAUCUAUCGGUAGCAGGACGGGUAAUUGACGCCCUCGGAUGGCUUUGAGGUCGCCAUUUUUGGUUGGUGUCUUUGUCAUGGUGUCAGGACCGGGAUAUCAUCUGGGACACAUUACCCCAUAGACACCCUGUUCGACCUCAACGAGGAAGCUGGCAGCACAGGAACUGGGAGAAGAGAGAGAUUGUUAGGUACCCACAGCCGCUGAGAGCCUGUAUUCCAACGCCAGGAGACGCCUGCUGUCCUGAGCAGUUGACAAGCGAGAACCACCGCUAACUACAACCGGAAGGAGUGGGUCCUCCCUCGCUCGCGCAGCCUCUCUUCCUCGCCACUGCCUCGACUCCCGCCAGCACCUUCCCAGCAAGCACUGCUCAUAUUUGCAUAUCAACUCACGUCCUUUUCUUUACUUCUAAAUAAAAAUCGAAAGGACACAGUCUAGAUUUUCCUUGUAAAGCCUUCCUUUCAAUUCAGAAGAACCGGAAUUCCCUCUUCGACUUCAGGAACGAAUAUGGAAUAAGGCGUUGCUUAGGUUUUGUGUUCACCUUUACCAAAAUAUGGAUUUGCUGACACUGCCACUCUGCUUUGGUAGCCUGCACGGCAAAAAGGGCUUCUGUCGUGAGUGGCACACGUAGAGUAACUCGAUUGCUCUUCGUGCGGAAUCGACAUCAAGAGAUUUCGGAAGCAUAAUUUUUUGGCAUUUGGGCAGCUGGUGAUCGUUGGUCCCGGCGCCCUU